CGGUGCCCCGCGGCGGCGCCCACCUUGGCACUGCGUGUCCAUCUCCCGCAGCAGCGAGGCGUUGCGCUGGAUGUCCAGCGGCAGAGACUCCACGCACUCCAGGUGGUUUCUGUGCUAAAAGCUUGCUGUUUGUCACUAUGGGGGAGACCGUAUCUAAGAAAUGCUUCUCUGUCUUCCAUGAGAUGAAAAGGAUGAAGAAUUGUCCGAGAUACCACAAAAAUAAACAGAUUUAAAAAAGAAUGAGUACAAGCCAGAUGGGCUUCUUAAGGGUCAGCUGAAAGAAGCAAGAGGCCAUAGCAGAGUUUUGUACAGGUGAUAUUCUGGGAAGAGGCUAUCCUUGCCAGAGAUACUACUGUGUUUGACCAGGAACUGCUUUCAGACAGUAACUCCUCUUCCUCAGCUACUGUUAUAAAGCAGAAAUUAUCUGUGGACUUGGUUUCCAGCUCUACAACUGAUCAUCACAUGAAAAACCUCAGGAGGUGUGCAAAUGAUGUUUAGGGAAGCCAAGUUAGAAAUGGUAACAAGGUAUUCUUACUGCAUUUUCAGCCAUCUUUCUUGUCUCACCUCAGCCCUGAAACCUGACCCUCUUUCAUUCUAAUAAGUGGAAGAAUCCACAUGAAUUUAAGGGAAAAGAACCAAGACCCUUUUGCACACAAUAAAGAAAGGAUUUUUGUGUGUUCCUACCUGAG